GCGCAGCAGGCGCGAAUCAUUCGCAAUGGGGAAAGCCUGACGAUGCGACGCCGUGUGAACGAAGAAGGCCCUCGGGUCGUAAAGUUCUUUCGCCUGGGAACAAGAGAGGAGGAUGAAUAAUCCUUUAAUUUGAGGGUACCAGGUAAAGAAGCACCGGCUAACUCCGUGCCAGCAGCUGCGGUAAUACGGAGGGUGCAAGCAUUAAUCGGAUUUAUUGGGCGUAAAGGGCGUGUAGGCGGCCGUUCAAGUCUGUUGUGAAAUUCCGGGGCUCAACCCCGGAGCUGCAAUGGAAACUGGAUGGCUAGAGGAUAGGCGGAGAAAAUGGGAAUUCCACAAGUAGCGGUGAAAUGCGUAGAUAUGUGGAGGAACACCGGUGGCGAA
rnacentral:rRNA from 1 species